UAUUUGCACGGCCUGACUUACCGCUCUACGAUACUACUGAAGUCAGUACAAAUACGCUGCGACUAUGAUGUAACUUAAUGUUAAAUUACUAUUAAAAGCCAAAUAUGUUCAUUAUGUACAUUUUUAAAUUUCCCAUUGCUAUACAUAUAAAUCCAUACAAUCGUGUAUAUAUCUUUAUACAAUGUUUAAUGAAAUUCAUGAGAGAUUCCAAGUUGUAUGAUUGAAAGCUAUUAAAAAAUAUAACAUUUGUUUCUAUUUAAUGAUGAUAGCAGUGCCCUCUUGAACUAUAAGUAACCAACUAAUAACAUUAGUGAAUUUACAAAUUGCAAGUCGUAAUUGUAGAAUUCUAUUGCAGACGUGCAGUUUUUACAAUUAUAGGAGUUAGAACUUUUAUGUGUAUUUUACAAGUGUUCAUAGUAGAAUGAUUAUUGUAUGUUAUAAUUUAAGUAAUAUGGCGAAAGCUUGGCCACCCUACUACACUAAUUUAGCAAUGGUAGCACGCAGUUACACACGGUUUCUUCCGUCU